UACAUGUGGGGCAAGCGUUGUUCGGAAUUACUGGGCAUAAAGGGUGCGUAGGUGGCUUGUUAAGUCAGGGGGUGAAAAGUUUUUCGGCCCAACCGGAAAAUGGCCUUUGAUACUGGCGAGCUUGAGUGCGUGAGGGGUAACCGGAACGAGCAGUGUAGCGGUGAAAAUGCGUAGAUAUUGCUCGGAAGGCCAACGGCGAAGGCAGGUUACUGGUGCGCAACUGACACUGAGGCACGAAAGCGUGGGGGAGCAAACAGG
rnacentral:rRNA from 1 species